AUUUCCAGUGUAGCGGUGAAAUGCGUAGAGAUUGGAAGGAACAUCAGUGGCGAAGGCGGCCACCUGGACAAAAACUGACGCUGAGGCACGAAAGCGUGGGUAGCAAACAGGAUUAGAUACCCUGGUAGUCCACGCCGUAAACGAUGUCAACUAGCUGUCUGUGGUUUAAUCUGUGGGUAGCGUAGCUAACGCGCUAAGUUGACCGCCUGGGGAGUACGGCCGCAAGGUUAAAACUCAAAUGAAUUGACGGGGGCCCGCACAAGCGGUGGAGCAUGUGGUUUAAUUCGAUGCAACGCGAAGAACCUUACCAUCCCUUGACAUCCAGAGAAUUUUCCAGAGAUAGAAUUGUGCCUUCGGGAACUCUGAGACAGGUGCUGCAUGGCUGUCGUCAGCUCGUGUUGUGAAAUGUUGGGUUAAGUCCCGCAACGAGCGCAACCCUUAUCCUUAGUUGCCAGCGCGUAAUGGCGGGAACUUUAAGGAGACUGCCGGUGAUAAACCGGAGGAAGGUGGGGACGACGUCAAGUCAUCAUGGCCCUUACGGGAUGGGCUACACACGUGCUAUAAUGGCGUAUACAAAGGGCAGCGAGACCGCGAGGUGGAGCGAAUCCCAUAAAGUACGUCGUAGUCCGGAUUGGAGUCUGCAACUCGACUCCAUGAAGUCGGAAUCGCUAGUAAUCGUGGAUCAGAAUGCCGCGGUGAAUACGUUCCCGGGCCUUGUACACACCGCCC
rnacentral:rRNA from 1 species